rnacentral:rRNA from 1 species
GGAAAAGGGGGGGGAGGCUAACACAUGCAAGUCGAGCGGAAACGAGUUAACUGAACCUUCGGGGAACGUUAACGGCGUCGAGCGGCGGACGGGUGAGUAAUGCCUGGGAAAUUGCCCUGAUGUGGGGGAUAACCAUUGGAAACGAUGGCUAAUACCGCAUAAUAGCCCGGUUCUUCGGAAUGGGUCUCAAAGAGGGGGACCUUUUAGGCCUCUCGCGUCAGGAUAUGCCCAGGUGGGAUUAGCUAGUUGGUGAGGUAAUGGCUCACCAAGGCGACGAUCCCUAGCUGGUCUGAGAGGAUGAUCAGCCACACUGGAACUGAGACACGGUCCAGACUCCUACGGGAGGCAGCAGUGGGGAAUAUUGCACAAUGGGCGCAAGCCUGAUGCAGCCAUGCCGCGUGUAUGAAGAAGGCCUUCGGGUUGUAAAGUACUUUCAGCAGUGAGGAAGGUGGGUAUGUUAAUAGCAUACACAUUUGACGUUAGCUGCAGAAGAAGCACCGGCUAACUCCGUGCCAGCAGCCGCGGUAAUACGGAGGGUGCGAGCGUUAAUCGGAAUUACUGGGCGUAAAGCGCAUGCAGGUGGUUUGUUAAGUCAGAUGUGAAAGCCCGGGGCUCAACCUCGGAAUUGCAUUUGAAACUGGCAAACUAGAGUACUGUAGAGGGGGGUAGAAUUUCAGGUGUAGCGGUGAAAUGCGUAGAGAUCUGAAGGAAUACCGGUGGCGAAGGCGGCCCCCUGGACAGAUACUGACACUCAGAUGCGAAAGCGUGGGGAGCAAACAGGAUUAGAUACCCUGGUAGUCCACGCCGUAAACGAUGUCUACUUGGAGGUUGUGGCCUUGAGCCGUGGCUUUCGGAGCUAACGCGUUAAGUAGACCGCCUGGGGGAGUACGGUCGCAAGAUUAAAACUCAAAUGAAUUGACGGGGGGCCCGCACAAUCGGUUGGAGCAUGUGGUUUAAUUCGAUGCAACGCGGAAAAACCUUACCUACUCUUUGACAUCUACCAAAAGCCAGCCGGAAACGCCAAGGG